rnacentral:tmRNA from 1 species
GGGGGUGAUACGGUUUCGACGGGGCUUAGAAAGGUCCUGGAGGCGACCCGGUAUGGUACCGCCGUAAUGGACCAACAUGCACAAACGCCAACGACGAGUUCUACGGCGAAGCUUUGGCCGCCGCCUAAAAGCGGAGGUCUUGGCUUUGGGUCCGGACCCGGACCUGGAAACAGAAGCUGAUGAAGCGGGGUCAAGCCGGAAAUGCGCAGGCCGGUCUAAAUCCAGGGGUGCCCAGUACUGCGAGGUAACGGAGGUUCCAAAGCCAGCCGGUCUGCAAGGCAGCGGAACUGAAUGACCGGCAGAUGGUCGUAAUCCCGCCAGACGGAGUACAGGUUUCGGACGCGGGUUCGACUCCCGCCACCUCCACCA